GGACCGCUUAUAGUUAAUUACUGUGAAAAAGUGGCUACACCGCGAUGUGCCGAAAGGUGAGAGGCUUGCUGCCUGAAGAUGACCUCGCGUCUGAUUAGCUAGUUGGUGUGGUAAGAGCGCACCAAGGCGACGAUCAGUAGCUGGUCUGAGAGGAUGAUCAGCCACACUGGGACUGAGAACACGGCCCAGACUCCUACGGGAGGCAGCCAGUGGGGAAGUUUUCCGUCAAUGGGCGAAAGCCUGACGGAGCAAUACCGCGUGAUGGGAGGAAGGCUUCUUGGGUUGGUUAAACCUUCUUUUCUUCAAGGAAUAACAAAAUGAAGGUACUUGAGGAAUCAGGCAUCGGCUAACUUCCGUGUCCAGCCAGCCGCGGUAAUACGGAGGAUGGCAAGCGUUAUCCGGGAAUGAUUGGGCGUAAAGCGUCCGCAGGUGGCUAUGUAAGUCUGCUGUUAAAGAGCAAAAGCUUAACUUUGUAAAAGGCAGUGGAAACUACAUAGCUAGAGUGCGUUCGGGGGUAGAGGGAAUUUCCUGGUGUAGCGGUGAAAUGCGUAGAGAUCAGGAAAGAACACCCGGUGGCGAAGGCGCUCUACUAGGCCGCAACUGACACUGAGGGACGAAAGCUAGGGGAGCGAAUGGGAUUAGAUACCCCCAGUAGUCCUAGCCGUAAAACGAUGGAUACUAGGCGUUGCGAGUAUCGACCCUCGCAGUGCCGGAGCCAACGCGUUAAGUAUCCCGCCUGGGGGAGUACGCACGCAAGUGUGAAAACUCAAAAGGAAUUGACGGGGGCCCGCACAAAGCGGUGGAGUAUGUGGUUUUAAUUCGAUGCAACGCGAAGAAACCUUACCAAGACUUGACAUGUCGCGAAUCUUCUUGAAAGGGAAGAGUGCCUUCGGGAAGCGCGAACACAGGUGGUGCAUGGCUGUCGUCAGCUCGUGUCGUGAGAUGUUGGGUUAAGUCCCCGCAAACGAGCGCAACCCCUCGUUUUUAGUUGCCAGCAUUAAGUUGGGGCACUCCUAGAGAGACUGCCGGUUGAACAAACCGGAGGAAGGUGGGGGGAUGACGUCAAGUCAGCAUGCCCCUUACGUCUUGGGGCUACACACSUACUACAAUGGCUACGAACAGAGGGCAGCAAGCGUGCGAACGCAAGCAAAUCCCGGAAAUCGUAGCUCAGUUCAGAUAGAAGGCUGCAACUCGCCUUCGUGAAGGAGGAAUCGCUAGUAAUUGCAGGUCAGCAUACUGCAGUGAAUUCGUUCCCGGGCCUUGUACACACCGCCCGUCACACCACGGAAGCUGGCAACGCCCGAAGUCAUUACCCCUACUAUUCUGAGAGGCAGUUCAAUUCUGUCCC
rnacentral:rRNA from 1 species